UGAGUUAUGACUGCAGUAUAAAAACAAAGGUUAAAAAGUAAAACCCUAACAUUUCACAAAACCUAAACGGCACAAAGCCAAAAACCCUAACAUUUCAAUUUUCAACUCUCUCUUUCUCACUCUUUCAUUCUUGCGUCGCCCUUAGUCCAAAUUUUGAUGGCUGACCUCCCUUCUAAUCAUGUUGAUUUGGAGGCUUCAUCAGAGGAAGAAGAGAACUCCCAUGUCUAGCCAAGCUUGAUGCUGAUUUUAUAAUGAUGUUUGAUUGAUUUUGUAUUGUAGUUGGCAAACUUUUAUAUUUUAGUUGCAAAUUAACUUCUAGCGUAUUUAGUAUAUUUUGAUGGAGUGUUGGUUUCUUUGUUUGAAAUUUGAAUGUUGGUACUUGACUAUUUGUGUAGUUGGAUACUUGGAUUUAACUUUUAAUUUUCUAACUUGAAUGUUGGAUGCAAUUGGAUGCCGAUUUCUUUGUUAUAAA